GGCCGCCUGGCGAAAUGGCAUCGCGUCUGACUACGAUAUGGUGUGAUCAGGAGAUUGCAGGUUCGAGCCCUGCGGUGGUCA
rnacentral:tRNA from 1 species